rnacentral:rRNA from 1 species
ACGCGUGAGGAACCUGCCUCAAAGAGGGGGACAACAGUUGGAAACGACUGCUAAUACCGCAUAAGCCCACGGGUCGGCAUCGACCUGAGGGAAAAGGAGUGAUCCGCUUUGAGAUGGCCUCGCGUCCGAUUAGCUAGUUGGUGAGGUAAUGGCCCACCAAGGCGACGAUCGGUAGCCGGACUGAGAGGUUGAACGGCCACAUUGGGACUGAGACACGGCCCAGACUCCUACGGGAGGCAGCAGUGGGGAAUAUUGCACAAUGGGGGAAACCCUGAUGCAGCGACGCCGCGUGGAGGAAGAAGGUCUUCGGAUUGUAAACUCCUGUUGUUGAGGAAGAUAAUGACGGUACUCAACAAGGAAGUGACGGCUAACUACGUGCCAGCAGCCGCGGUAAAACGUAGGUCACAAGCGUUGUCCGGAAUUACUGGGUGUAAAGGGAGCGCAGGCGGGAAGACAAGUUGGAAGUGAAAUCUAUGGGCUCAACCCAUAAACUGCUUUCAAAACUGUUUUUCUUGAGUAGUGCAGAGGUAGGCGGAAUUCCCGGUGUAGCGGUGGAAUGCGUAGAUAUCGGGAGGAACACCAGCGGCGAAGGCGGCCUACUGGGCACCAACUGACGCUGAGGCUCGAAAGUGUGGGUAGCAAACAGGAUUAGAUACCCUGGUAGUCCACACCGUAAACGAUGAUUACUA